rnacentral:rRNA from 1 species
GACGAACGCUGGCGGCGUGCUUAACACAUGCAAGUCGAGCGGUAAGGCCCCUCGGGGUACGACGAGCGGCGAACGGGUGAGUAACACGUGGGUGACCUGCCCUCAGCUCUGGGAUAAGCCUGGGAAACUGGGUCUAAUACCGGAUAUGACUCCAUGACGCAUGUCGUGGGGUGGAAAGCCUUGUGCGGCUGGGGAUGGGCCCGCGGCCUAUCAGCUUGUUGGUGGGGUGANGGCCUACCAAGGCGACGACGGGUAGCCGGCCUGAGAGGGCGACCGGCCACACUGGGACUGAGACACGGCCCAGACUCCUACGGGAGGCAGCAGUGGGGAAGUCUUGCGCAAUGGGCGAAAGCCUGACGCAGCGACGCCGCGUGAGGGA